UACAGAGGGUGCAAACGUUGCUCGGAAUUAUUGGGCGUAAAGCGCACGUAGGCGGUUUGAUAAGUUGGAUGUGAAAACCCUGGGCUCAACCCUGGAAGUGCAUCCAAGACUGUCAAGCUAGAGUGUCGGAGGGGGUCGGAGAAUUCCCGGUGUAGAGGUGAAAUUCGUAGAUAUCGGGAGGAACAUCUGUGGCGAAGGCGCCGACCUGGACGACAACUGACGCUGAGGUGCGAAAGCAUGGGGAGCAAACAGG
rnacentral:rRNA from 1 species